rnacentral:sRNA from 1 species
AUUCCUCCCCGUGUGCCGGCAGGCCCAGGCGGGCGCCGGCGACUCCUGGCCCCGCCCUGGCGGCCCCCUCCUCUUCCGCAGAGCGCUCCUGGCAGGGGGCGGCCGCGUGCUGGCACAGACGUUCAUCUUCACUGACGGGGAAGAUGAGGCCCUGGCCAGGCACACGGGCAACGUGGUCAUCACAAACUGCUCGGCCGCCCACAGUCGCCAGGCGCUGUCCUGCAAGAUGGCCGUGGAGUAUGACCGCUUCAUCGAGUCCGGCAGGAAGUGAGUGUGGCCCCGGGGGACUCCCAUCUCCCUGCCCGAGCCUGGCAGCGCCCGCCCCGGCAUGCCCUCCCCCGAUGGCCCUGCCUUGUCCUCAGGUGGUUCUGCCACGUGGACGAUGACAACUAUGUCAACCUGCGGGCCCUGCUGCGGCUGCUGGCCAGCUACCCGCACACGCGGGACGUCUACAUCGGCAAGCCCAGCCUGGACAGGCCCAUCCAGGCCACGGAGCGGGUCAGUGAGAACAAGGUGCGUCCUGUCCACUUCUGGUUUGCCACGGGCGGCGCUGGCUUCUGCAUCAGCCGUGGGCUGGCUCUGAAGAUGAGCCCGUGGGCCAGCGGGGGUCACUUCAUGAAUACGGCUGAGCGGAUCCGGCUGCCUGACGACUGCACCAUCGGCUACAUCGUGGAGGCCCUGCUGGGCGUGCCCCUCAUCCGCAGCAGCCUCUUCCACUCCCACCUGGAGAACCUGCAACAGGUGCCCACCUCGGAGCUCCACGAGCAGGUGACGCUGAGCUACGGUAUGUUUGAAAACAAGCGG